rnacentral:lncRNA from 1 species
GGGUGAGGCCCCAACCCAAGACCCCACCCAGAGCCCAGAGUGCCAGGCCUGCUCUGACCUUGUGCCGGGCGACCCCCAGUGGCACCUGGGGCUGAAUGCCUCCCACUCAGCCCAAGGAAAUUGCCCUGCAGGAGGCCAGACCUCCCAAGAGGGCUGGGGCAGCAGGAGGGAGCGGAGCCUCCAGUCAUGAUGUGUGCUUGACCCCUACCCAAGGGAACCCAUCUCGGUGACCCCAGUGGAAGUUCUGAUGCACCUUCUGGAGGGCAGACAAGGAGGGAGCCCCCGACUUCAGUCCAUGCCUGCCCAGACCCCCAGGAGAGGCUGUGGUUUGGUACCACCAAUUUGGGAGCUGGGAGGAAUGGGAGUGCACGGGCCCGGCUCAUCCCUGCAUGGCUGGAGGGCACGAGGGAGCGUGGGCGCCCCUGUGGUAAGGGCCGGAAGUCAGAUGCAGAGGCUGCCAGCCCCCCUGACCCCAGGACACUCUGCUGGUUGGAGAGGCAGGAUGGGGGUGCAUCUGGCUGGGGGAGGAGGGCAGCCGGCCCCCUGUCUCUGGCUCAGUUGCACCGUGGCUCCCUGAGACUCGAGCUCUCCCACGAGCCAGGGGCCUCUGCUUCUCAGCUUAGCUGUCACCUUCUCCAGGAAGCUUCCAGCCCCUGCAUGAGUGCCCAGGAAGCACAGCCAGCGGUGAGGCCCCUGCUGGCAGCCGGCUUGGCACACAGAGCCGGGUCAGGCUCUGGGAACACUGGACAAGCUCUUCCUUGCCCACUAGGGGCUGGCCACCUCAGGGGGACGGACUCCCAUGCACAGGGAGCUGGGCGGGUCCUACCUGUACAAGGCACCUGUACGAGGGACAUUUCCACCCGAGUCCAAAGCCACGAAGGGCAGUUGCACAGCCCUGAGCCCGGCCAGCCCUCGCGCGGCCAGGACUGCAGUCAGAGCUGCCAUUUUGCCUUUGCUUUCGAUGGCUAUUAUUUGCGCACUUAAAAAAUAUUUUUUAUCACAUGUUACAUGCUUGCUGGGAUAAAAAGCUCGAAGUGGACAGAGGUGUGUAGGG